rnacentral:lncRNA from 1 species
UAUUUUAAAAUAAAAUAGGAAAAUAUCUUUUAUAGGAUUUUCACACCCGUAAUCUAUUAUAGAAAACUUACUUUUGAAAUUAAAUAGAAAAAUUUAUAUUUUAGAAUUUUCACAUCAGUAAUCUAUUAUAGAGAACUUACGUAUUCAUUGUUGUUUCUAUUUUUAUUUUUAUUCUUAUAUUUAAAAUUUUUCGUACGGAAAGAGAAAAAUGGGCGCUAAUUUUUCCGCCGAAAAAUGGGUCUGUCGACAGACCCAAAUUUGAAUAUACGUGCUUUUAUAUAUAGUAUAGAUACAUACACCACACACAUACACUUUAGUGUUGAAUAUAUAAAAUAUUAAUACAAUAUUAUUUUUUUUAGUAGUUUAAAUUUUGAUGGUUUAUUUGCUUAUACUUUUUAAGAUUUUGAAAGUGUGGGUUAGGAAUUGAGAAUUUCGAUAAUUGGUUCGGUACAGGAACUUUUUUUUUUCCCACCAUAGCUUGAUUUUAAUGGUCUAAAAUAUCCAUUUCAAGUUUGACAUAUCAUCUUAUUUGAUAUUAAAUAUACAUAAUAUCACUUCCUAUUAAUAAGGCAUAGUAAACCAUAUGAUGUGACAGAUAGAUAAUUGAAAAAAAAUAAAAAAUGUCGACAAAAAAAAAAAACGACGAUAAAAAAAUGAUGAUAAAAGAUGGGAUUUAUUUUGCUGAUGAACGAAGAUAACAGCUGAAAAAAGAGAAAGAGAAAGGACUUGAGCUGGUUUAAGAUGGAGUCCAUACUCAACAAUGAAGAAAAAGUUGCCAUGUGACAAUUUUAGGAGAAAUAAUGUAUAGGUAUAGAUUAGAAUAAACUUAUAUAUUGAU